GAUGAACGCUAGCGGGAGGCCUAACACAUGCAAGCCGAGCGGUAUUAUUUCUUCGGAAAUGAGAGAGCGGCGUACGGGUGCGGAACACGUGUGCAACCUGCCUUUAUCUGGGGGAUAGCCUUUCGAAAGGAAGAUUAAUACUCCAUAAUAUAUUGAACGGCAUCGUUUAAUAUUGAAAGCUCCGGCGGAUAGAGAUGGGCACGCGCAAGAUUAGCUAGUUGGUGAGGUAACGGCUCACCAAGGCGAUGAUCUUUAGGGGGCCUGAGAGGGUGAUCCCCCACACUGGUACUGAGACACGGACCAGACUCCUACGGGAGGCAGCAGUGAGGAAUAUUGGUCAAUGGGUGCAAGCCUGAACCAGCCAUCCCGCGUGAAGGACGACUGCCCUAUGGGUUGUAAACUUCUUUUGUAUAGGGAUAAACCUACCCUCGUGAGGGUAGCUGAAGGUACUAUACGAAUAAGCACCGGCUAACUCCGUGCCAGCCGCCGCGGUAAGAC
rnacentral:rRNA from 1 species